rnacentral:sRNA from 1 species
GCUGGGUAUGGUAGCACAUGCCUGUAAUCCCAGUGGCUCAGGAGGCUGAGGCGGGAGGAUUGUGAGUUCAAAGCCAGCCUCAGCAACAGUGAGGUGCUAAGCAACUCAGUGAGACCCUGUCUCUA